AUUGAACGCUGGCGGCAUGCCUAACACAUGCAAGUCGAACGAGGCCCCUCCUUCGGGAGGGUGUCCUAGUGGCGAACGGGUGAGUAACACGUGGGCAACCUGCCCCCGGCUCGGGGAUAACUCCAAGAAAUUGGGGCUAAUACCGGAUAUGACCGCUGACCGCAUGGUCCGGUGGCGGAAAGAUUUAUCGGCUGGGGAUGGGCCCGCGGCCUAUCAGCUUGUUGGUGGGGUAGUGGCCUACCAAGGCGACGACGGGUAGCCGGCCUGAGAGGGUGACCGGCCACACGGGGACUGAGACACGGCCCAGACUCCUACGGGAGGCAGCAGUGGGGAAUAUUGCGCAAUGGGCGGAAGCCUGACGCAGCGACGCCGCGUGGGGGAUGACGGCCUUCGGGCUGUAAACCUCUUUCAGCAGGGACGAAGCGCAAGUGACGGUACCUGCAGAAGAAGCACCGGCCAACUACGUGCCAGCAGCCGCGGUAAUAC
rnacentral:rRNA from 1 species